rnacentral:misc_RNA from 1 species
CCAGCAUCAGCUGGUAGUGUUGACAGUCACGGCAGUAACACGCGGGUACAGAAUCUUGUCAUCUUGUUUAUCAUAGCUGCAGUGUGCCUCAACGUGGGAUACCCUCCUCACAGCAUUCUCUAAUAAUGCUCCUUAUUAAUGUGUCUAUGGCCAAGAAAAGAUAAAUAAAUUUACAUGGAUUGCAUAAAAAUCAAGAGAAGAUUACUGUGAAGAUGAAGGUUACUGUGUGGAGUGUGGUGAGCGGCGCAAUAUCUGGUCACCUUGUAGUAAAUAUACCCGCAGCUUGCACUGUCCGCAAAGUGCUUGAUACCUAUUGCAGUUACAAGGGUGUUCCUGCAGAUAAUAGGUAUGUCAUUCGAAGCCGAGACAACCUGGUCUUGAAUCCCAAUAAGACCCUCAAGCAAGCUAACAUUCAAGAUGGAGAAACACUCACAAUUGGUCUUCCAGAGGAUGAGGCGCAAAUAUUUUCAUUUGGUAGUUGGUGGAUGGUGAUGUUGGCAGCCUUUAUCAUUGGAAUUGCAGGACUUGUGAUUACAUUUUGGUUGUUUUUGGAGCCUGUCACUGGAAUUAAGAAGUUUGGUAUAGUAGUGGAUGCAGGGUCAUCUCAUAGUGAAGUGUACGUCUUCAGGUGGAAUGGCCAGAUGCCUCUUGGAACGGCUGAUGUGGAACUUCUUCAUCGUUGCUUUAUUUCAGGAGGUGUAAACAGUUUUGCAACUCAUGCUGAAGAUAUUGGUAGAUACUUUAAGUACUGCAUUGCUGAAGCUGAAACUCGCGUGCCUAAAGCUCAUCGGCCUCAUACACCACUGUAUGUCCAAGCUACGGCUGGCAUGAGAAUACUAAAAAAAUUUGAUCCGGAGGGAGCUCAAGCAAUAUUGUCAACGAUACGAGAAUUUUUUGAUGCAAACACGAGCUUCCGAGUGGAAAAUAAUAGUGUGGAGAUACUUCCAGGCACAGAAGAAGGCUUAAAUGGCUGGAUCAUUGUCAAUUAUUUGAAUAAUCACUUGAAGCAGCCUGAUAAAGCGAGUGCUGCUGUCCUGGAUGUUGGUGGGGUAUCCUUGCAACUGACAAGCGAACUAGCCCAUUCCGGCAAUUGGACAACCACAGAACUCAAACUUUUCAAUCAAUCUCACAAGGUCCACAGCCAGUCUUUUCUCUGUUAUGGAAUUGCACAAGCCCGACAUCGGUAUGAUUUUCUUCUAAUUAAUAAAACUGGAAUAAAUGUUCAGCAAGCGGCAACCAUUGAUCCAUGCAUGGCGAAAGGUACUACCCAUCAAGUGUUAGCAUCAGACAUGAGUGGACCUUGCACUCUUACAGAUAAUUCAAAACCACUCUUAUCAUCAAUCACUAAUGUAAAUUAUAAAAAACUGAAAACCAUCUUCAAAAAUUAUAAAAGUGAGCAGAAUGUUCCUCGCUCGGAAGAGGUUGCUGUAGUGACUGACAGUGAAGAUACAAAGAUGUCCAGUUCUUUUACAGUCAAAGGUUCUAGUAAUGCUAGCAUGUGUGAGGAGAAGACUAGUUGGUUGUUUGAUCAUCAGUUGUGCAAGAAGAUUUUCACUUUUGGGGACUGCUUGAACGCUCAGUCGGUACCCCAAUUCAACCACUCAAUCAUUGCAUUCUCUGGUCUCUUUGAUCAUCUGAUGCUGCUGCUCGAUGUGGGAGCAAAUAUUACUUUGCAUCAGUUUAAACAAAAGGUGUAUAGUGUGUGUUCGCUGGAGGUAGAGGCACUUUAUGCUGCUUACCCAGGACUUGAGAAGGAGGUGGUAGAAGAUCUUUGUUUUGAUGCCAUGUUUGUGUUCAAUCUCCUGACCAUUGGCUUGGGCAUCAACAACUCAACUUGGGCAAAUAUUAAUUUUACUGAUGAGAACCCUAGCCCUAAUAAUGAAUAUACAAGAAUGCACAUUUGUUGUGUCAUCCUGUAUCAAAGGAUUGUGAUAUAACGAAAUCAGAGAAAGAUUUACAAGGAAAUUUCACAGAAUCGGUCCUACAGGCAAAGCGAUUCAUGAACUUGAACAAAUUUAAAAGAACUGGAUCCGUACAAAAUGUGUUUCACAACGCUAAGGUAAACAAGAGGGAGGUGGCAUGGUCACAGGGAUUCAUGCUAUACCGCACCUCGAGCUUUGCCUCGGAUACUCCAGGCCGUUUAUUGACCCUCACUACGUUUUCACUGCUGGUACUCCUCUUCUUGGCCUUUGUUAGC